UGUCUUUUUCCGCUUACUGGCGUUUCAAUUCCACAACGACAGGAAAGGGAAAAAGGCGUA
rnacentral:pre_miRNA from 1 species